UACGUAGGGGGCAAGCGUUGUCCGGAUUUAUUGGGCGUAAAGAGCGUGUAGGCGGCCAGGUAGGUCUGCUGUGAAAACUCGAGGCUCAACCUCGAGACGCCGGCGGAAACCAUUUGGCUAGAGUCCGGAAGAGGAGAGUGGAAUUCCUGGUGUAGCGGUGAAAUGCGCAGAUAUCAGGAAGAACACCCGUGGCGAAGGCGGCUCUCUGGGACGGUACUGACGCUGAGACGCGAAAGCGUGGGGAGCGAACAGG
rnacentral:rRNA from 1 species